UUUUUUAACCUUUAAAUAUGAUGCUAUACUUCGCUACUUAGCUCACCAUGCUAAAACAAACCAUAAAACUGGUCCGAGUACAGCAUAAAGGGCAACAAAGGGUCUGAAGCUGCGCUGCUAACACUGCAGGAUGCAGAUAGGAUGACAUCAUCCACACGGAGCUGCUGCUCUCCCGGUGUGUGUCUGUGUGUGUUUGUGUUUGCAGCAGGCAAAGGACCAGCACUCAUAUCCCAGCCUGUGUCUUACUGUUCAAAUCGAGUCUGUACAGACAAUAAUGUCUAAAUGACUUAUGGAGUAUUAAUAACUGUCAGGGAAGCUACUAGCCUAGCGCUGUUUUUGUGAGCUAUCAGCAUGCUAGAGUUAAAUUCAGAUGCUUUCUACUCUGUAUUUUAUUGUCUUUACUUUAGUGGCGGGUGUAAGGACAUGAGAAAGAGAGAGAAAGAGAGAGCAGGACGGAGGGAGGUGCACAGAAACCCCUCCCUCAGCUCCUAUGCUGCAGCCAUCAGAAAAGACGCCUCUGACGACGGACACUUACCCAACAUGUUCCACUCUACACAAAGACACGAGAGAUUGCUGCUCUCUGGUGAUUUUGAAGUGCUUCUUCCAAAACCAUGUUUCACAAGAGUUUCACAUGCAUUCCACAUACUUCACGAGUGAUUUCAACAUGUGAUUACAGCUGUCGGCGCAUCCAGUGGCUCGGGCUUACCUAUGCACUUGAUCUCGAAGCCCCGCGGUGGUUUGAGGGCCCUCCGCGUCCA